CGGCUCGGUGCAUCAGCCCCCCGGUGAGCGGUGGAGAGGAGGGAGAAAGGGAGGCCGCAGAGGCACAGAGACACUAACGCUGACAUCGUCACAAACAUCUGGAGCUGCUUGUGUGGCGACGAACUGACACGAUGUCACACUUUAAUAUCCUGAAUAAUAAAGAAUAAACAUUUCAGGUAGUAAGAAAGACAGCUGAAGAAGAAAAGUUGGUAAUAAAGAUUCAGACCGCAUUAUAAUUUAUAGACCUCAUAACGUGAUUGAAUUUACGAAACACAGGGGAACCGUCACAAUGUAAAUGGAAUUAUUCUCCUCAGAUAAUGUUCCCGAUGCUCUAUAUAAAUACUACAAGGUGCCAGUUCAGUCUAAGCUGCCGAGCGCUUUGACCAGAGGAGGGAAACCGGAAAUUGAGCACUUUCUUCUGUCAGUUUGACCCUUAAUGACAGCGGGGACAUUGGCCGGCCAGCGGGGCGACGUUAUUAACGCUCCUUUAUUGACUCGUCCCCGAACGCGUCCCUGUGUCUUCAUUUAGCCUCCUCCGUUUGUCUUUUAUGAGUAGAAGGCAAUAACGGCGAUGGACGUGAAGACGAGGAGGGAGCAAAGCAGAGGGGGCCGUUUAUUCAUGUGUGUGUGCGGUUUGUUUGGAAAAGCUCUUUUCUUCAACGCCGACCAGACGAAUAUUUGCAAAAACAACCUUUUUUUCAUCUGUAAAGUCUCGUUUAGUUAAUUGACCUAAAAACAAAGACCAUAAGACACACAGCUAUCUGACACUUCUACUGGCUUUCCUAAUAACUAAUAUGUAUUCAAAUGGAGUCUUUGUCUGCAGCUCACACACUUGUUUUAUCUUGAAGGAAAUCUUUAGAAUGAACGGAAACGGAGACUUUAUUUAAUUCAAGUGAUAUGAAUUGAGAAAAGAUUGCUUCCUCCCGCUGCAGCUCCUCCGCCCCGUCAGCUUCGCUUCUGAAACCUUCACAGCAGCUUCACCUCCCUCCUCCACCUCCCUCAUCUUCCCCACCACCCCAGACGUGAACGCACACCGUGCAUACAGCACACCUUGUUGUUUUUCUGUACUUCAAUUACGUAGCAAAGUCCCAAAGAAUCGGCAAGUGCACACACACACACACAUGCACACACACACACACACGCACACAUGCACACACACACACGCACACACACGCACACACAUGCACACACACAUGCACACUCAUGUGCACACACACACACAUGCACACACACAUACAUGCACACACAUGCACACACAUGCACACACACACACAUGCACACACACGCACACACACUCACGCACGCACACACACACACACACACACGUACACGUACACAUGCACACACUCACGCACGCACACACACACACGCACACACACGCACGCACACAGUUGAAGUGUUUAAUGAGAGCGGACCUGCAGGCAGAAGUCGACACUGAACCAGUCUGACUGAUGUUUUUUUAUUACGUAUCCGGAGCCACUUCGUUUUUUGUUUAACUCUUGUUUGACUUGUGGUCUAAAAUAGUUGCUGCAGAACUGCCCAUAAAAAAAAAACUUUACUCCACCAAAAUAUGGCCGUGUCCGCAUGGCUCACCGCUGCGUAUCAACUGGCCGUUUUUGGAAAAAAAAUGUGCAUGAAUCAUGGAGAAUGUGCCAAAAGCUGCUGGUUCUUUUCUAGCUUCCAAUUAGGAAGUAAAAGUCUCUUUCUCAUCACUAUUUUCACCUGCAUCUGGAAACUAGUCAAGUAGUAUUUUGUCCAAACCUUCAAAACUCAUCGCUUCAUCUUUAUCUUCAGCCGAGCUUUGUGCCCGUUGGACGAGUGGACUUCUUCGGUUCAGGCUCGGCCAGCGAGAUUGGUUUGGGUAGAAACAUCUGGGUAAGCCCGCUUGUACUCUUCCUUCCUGCGAAAUCAAAAGACUUAUUAUUCAAGGAAACGCUGCCUUUCGACUCCUCUACUCCCUAAUAACCACAUUUCGUUUCCUAUUAAUUCUCCCCUAAAAAAAAGCCCCGUUGCUUAUUUACUGAAAGGCUUUUCUUUUGGGCUUUUAAUCUGCAGCACCUUGGCACGACUCCUCGACACGACGGUAAAACAAACCAUAUAUCUGAGAGAACAAAACCUCUCGGGGGGCCCGGCAGGUGUUUCCAGCCGGGACAGGAAAACACAGUUUUUGACCGCAUGCUGGGAAGUGUCAUGUGACGCACGCUUAGCGGAUGUACGUCAAACGUAUGAGAAGAAUAAGUGGCAAAUAAAUGGACUCGUUUGCAAAGUAACAAAAAGGCUACAGGACUCUCAUUCAGCAGCGUCAGAAUGAAGCGUUGGUUUAGUCUCUACAGGGUUUAUUGUGUAUUUUCUGAGUUACGAGGGAGAACGAAAAGUCUUUUGAUGGGAUCCAGAUGUGCGAAGAAUGGAAAUGACGGGAGGACGAGUCAUCGUGAGCAAAAAUGUUAAUGAUCUGUUGUUGUUGUUGUUGUUUGUCUUUUGACACGUAGAAAAUAACCUUUACUUUAGCUUCACUUUCUCUUUCUCCUGAUUGAUUUCAGGCUUUUUGGGAUAAAGCCUUUUAAUCCAAGGACACACACAGAUUGUGUAGGCUUGUGUGUGUGUGUUUGUGUUAUUCUCGUUUGUGAAUCUCGCGUCUACGUUCCCAGUUCUUAUUAAUUAGAUAUUAAAUCAAUUAAUACAUACAUACAUAUGCCUGGGAAAUAAAUCCAGAAUUAAUUAGUCCAAUAAAUAUUUAAAUAGGAAUAUAUAAGAGUUAAUGCAUUUAAAUAAAUGACUGUUUAUUUUCUACUGUUAUUGGUUUCAGUAAAUGUUUAUUUCAUAAUGCUACAUUUAUUCAUUUAAUAUGAGAGAUUCAGAUCAACCAACAACCAACCCGGCUGCUUAAUGAAGGUAAAAAUAAAGGGUUCAGAGAGGAUCAGUUUAAUCAAUUUGCGAUGAAUCGGAGGAGAAAUGAGCGCUGGGUCAAUGUCGGACGGACCUGAGGACAAAAAACUGGAAAACAUAUCAAAGAAAAGUGCGCUGAAAUAAAAAUAGUUAAAUGAUUUAAAAAGGAAAAAGUAGUAAAAAUCUAUUUAUUAAUUCAACUAUAUGACUUAUUAUAUAUUAAGAUUUAUUUGUAUAUUUAUUACGUAUUACCUUUUAUCAUUUCCUCGUCAUACUUUUCCCUUUCAUGGCCAUAUUUAUUCAUUUAAUAAUCAUUCAUCAUCAUCAUCAUCAAUCAAAUGCUCUUUUGACCGCGAUGUGAUUGACAGGCCGUAUCAGUCAUCAUCAGAUUCUCUUUCUCCCACUUUAAUCUUCUCAUUGUCUCUAAAUGUGCAGGAAAAGAUUCUCUCUCUCUCUCUCUCUCCCUCCCUCUCUCUCCCUCUCUCUCUCUC
ensembl:lncRNA